AUGAAUGUGGAUGGAGCUCUAGCUCGUAAUAGGCGCGCUGGUGCAUUGGCGGCCAUCUGCCGAGACCACACGAGGAAGUACAUGGGUUCUUCGGCCGUGGUGUUUAGAGGCAUCACUGAUCCAACCGUACUUGAAACAUUUGCAUGCACGGAAGCGCUUGCUCUAGCGGAGGAUCUGAAUGCUCAACGCUUGAAGGUGGCAUCGGACUGCUUGGGAGUGAUAAACGACAUAAAUUCCGGGACAGGAGGUCCUCACUCAGCAAUAGUACAUGAAAUAAUAGACCGUAGUAACAACUUUACCACUUAUUUUUUUGUUCAUGAGCGAAGAAAUCACAAUUUCAAAGCUCAUAAUCUCGCCAAAUUUGCCUGUAAUUUAGGCUUAGGUAGACAUAUUUGGUUGGGCUCUCCUCAUGACCCAUCUCAUGUACCUAUGAACAUUCGUAUUAAUGAAUAA
rnacentral:rRNA from 1 species